rnacentral:rRNA from 1 species
UGGGGGAUAUUGCACAAUGGGCGAAAGCCUGAUGCAGCGACGCCGCGUGGGGGAUGAAGGCUUUCGGGUUUUAAACCUCUUUCGCUAUCGAACAAGGCCCGCUUAGGGUGGGUUGAGGGUAGGUGGAGAAGAAGCGCCGGCUAACUACGUGCCAGCAGCCGCGGUAAUACGUAGGGCGCGAGCGUUGUCCGGAAUUAUUGGGCGUAAAGGGCUUGUAGGCGGCUUGUUGCGCCUGCUGUGAAAACGCGGGGCUUAACUUCGCGCGUGCAGUGGGUACGGGCAGGCUUGAGUGUGGUAGGGGUGACUGGAAUUCCAGGUGUAGCGGUGGAAUGCGCAGAUAUCUGGAGGAACACCGAUGGCGAAGGCAGGUCACUGGGCCAUUACUGACGCUGAGGAGCGAAAGCAUGGGUAGCGAACAGG